rnacentral:rRNA from 1 species
CAGUCGCCGCGGGAAUACGAAGGGGGCUAGCGUUGUUCGGAAUUACUGGGCGUAAAGGGCGCGUAGGCGGCCAUUCAAGUUAGAUGUGAAAGCCCUGGGCUCAACCUAGGAAUUGCAUUUGAUACUGUUUGGCUUGAGUUCGGGAGAGGUGAGUGGAAUUCCCAGUGUAGAGGUGAAAUUCGUAGAUAUUGGGAAGAACACCAGUGGCGAAGGCGGCUCACUGGACCGACACUGACGCUGAGGCGCGAAAGCGUGGGGAGCAAACAGGAUUAGAGACCCCAGUAGUCCCUGUCUCUUAUAC